GGAUUGGUCCUCAGGGCUCGGAACCCUCCCUCCCUCGCUCCCGGCUUAGAGGACAGCGGGGAAGGCGGGUGGUGAGGCAGGGGGCCUGAAGCGGCGGUACUGGUGCUGGCGGCGGCAGCUGAGGUCUUGGCCGAAGCCGCACGGAACCUCAGGGCAAGAUGCUUGGAACUGGACCUGCCGCCGCCACCACCACUGCCACCACAUCUAGCAAUGUGAGUGUUCUGCAGCAGUUUGCCAGUGGCCUGAAGAGCCGGAAUGAGGAGACCAGGGCCAAAGCUGCCAAGGAGCUCCAGCACUAUGUCACCAUGGAGCUCCGAGAGAUGAGUCAAGAGGAGUCUACUCGCUUCUAUGACCAGCUGAACCAUCACAUUUAUGAAUUGGUUUCCAGCUCAGAUGCCAAUGAGAGGAAAGGUGGCAUCUUGGCCAUAGCCAGCCUCAUAGGAGUGGAAGGUGGGAAUGCCACCCGAAUUGGCAGAUUUGCCAACUAUCUUCGGAACCUCCUCCCCUCCAAUGACCCAGUUGUCAUGGAAAUGGCAUCCAAGGCCAUUGGCCGCCUUGCCAUGGCAGGGGACACUUUCACUGCCGAGUAUGUGGAAUUUGAGGUGAAGCGAGCCCUGGAAUGGCUGGGUGCUGACCGCAAUGAGGGCCGGAGACACGCAGCUGUCCUGGUUCUCCGUGAGCUGGCCAUCAGCGUCCCUACCUUCUUCUUCCAGCAAGUGCAGCCCUUCUUUGACAACAUUUUUGUGGCCGUGUGGGACCCCAAACAGGCCAUCCGUGAGGGAGCUGUAGCCGCCCUUCGUGCCUGUCUGAUUCUCACCACCCAGCGUGAGCCGAAGGAGAUGCAGAAGCCUCAAUGGUACCGGCACACAUUUGAAGAAGCAGAGAAGGGGUUUGAUGAGACCUUGGCCAAAGAGAAGGGCAUGAAUCGGGAUGAUCGGAUCCAUGGAGCCUUGCUAAUCCUUAACGAGCUGGUCCGAAUCAGCAGCAUGGAGGGAGAGCGUCUGAGAGAAGAAAUGGAAGAAAUCACACAGCAGCAGCUGGUACACAACAAGUACUGCAAAGAUCUCAUGGGCUUUGGAACAAAGCCUCGUCACAUUACCCCCUUCACCGGUUUCCAGGCUGUGCAGCCCCAGCAGUCAAAUGCCUUGGUGGGGCUGCUGGGGUACAGCUCUCACCAAGGCCUCAUGGGAUUUGGGGCCUCCCCCAGCCCAGCUAAGUCCACCCUGGUGGAGAGCCGGUGUUGCAGAGACUUGAUGGAGGAGAAAUUUGAUCAGGUGUGCCAGUGGGUGCUGAAAUGCAGGAAUAGCAAGAACUCGCUGAUCCAAAUGACAAUCCUUAAUUUGUUGCCCCGCUUGGCUGCAUUCCGACCUUCUGCCUUCACAGAUACCCAGUAUCUCCAAGAUACCAUGAACCACGUCCUAAGCUGUGUCAAGAAGGAGAAGGAACGUACAGCAGCCUUCCAAGCCCUGGGGCUACUUUCCGUGGCUGUGAGGUCCGAGUUUAAGGUCUAUUUGCCUCGUGUGCUGGACAUAAUCCGAGCAGCCCUGCCCCCUAAGGACUUCGCCCAUAAGAGGCAGAAGGCAAUGCAGGUGGAUGCCACUGUCUUUACUUGCAUCAGCAUGCUGGCUCGAGCAAUGGGGCCAGGCAUCCAGCAGGAUAUCAAGGAGCUGCUGGAGCCCAUGCUGGCAGUGGGACUAAGCCCUGCCCUCACUGCGGUACUCUAUGACCUGAGCCGUCAGAUUCCACAGCUAAAGAAGGACAUUCAAGACGGGCUACUGAAAAUGCUGUCCCUGGUCCUUAUGCACAAACCGCUCCGCCACCCAGGCAUGCCCAAAGGCCUGGCCCAUCAGCUGGCCUCCCCUGGGCUCACGACUCUCCCUGAGGCCAGUGAUGUGGGCAGCAUCACUCUUGCCCUCCGAACGCUUGGCAGCUUUGAAUUUGAAGGUCACUCUCUGACCCAGUUCGUUCGCCACUGUGCAGAUCAUUUCCUGAACAGUGAGCACAAGGAGAUCCGCAUGGAGGCUGCCCGUACCUGUUCCCGCCUGCUCACACCCUCCAUCCACCUCAUCAGUGGCCAUGCUCAUGUGGUUAGCCAGACUGCAGUGCAAGUGGUGGCAGAUGUGCUCAGCAAACUGCUCGUGGUUGGGAUAACAGAUCCUGACCCUGACAUUCGCUAUUGUGUCUUGGCGUCCCUGGAUGAGCGCUUUGAUGCACACCUGGCCCAGGCGGAGAACUUGCAGGCCUUGUUUGUGGCUCUGAAUGACCAGGUGUUUGAGAUCCGGGAGCUGGCCAUCUGCACUGUGGGCCGACUCAGUAGCAUGAACCCCGCCUUUGUCAUGCCUUUCCUGCGCAAGAUGCUCAUCCAGAUUUUGACAGAGCUGGAGCACAGUGGGAUUGGAAGAAUCAAAGAGCAGAGUGCCCGCAUGCUGGGGCACCUGGUCUCCAAUGCCCCUAGACUCAUCCGCCCCUACAUGGAGCCUAUUCUGAAGGCAUUAAUUUUGAAACUGAAAGAUCCAGACCCUGAUCCAAACCCAGGUGUGAUCAACAAUGUCCUGGCCACAAUAGGAGAAUUGGCACAGGUUAGUGGCCUGGAAAUGAGAAAAUGGGUUGAUGAACUUUUUAUUAUCAUCAUGGACAUGCUCCAGGAUUCUUCUUUGUUGGCCAAAAGGCAGGUGGCUCUGUGGACCCUGGGACAGUUGGUGGCCAGCACUGGCUAUGUGGUAGAGCCCUACAGGAAGUACCCUACUUUGCUUGAGGUGCUACUGAAUUUUCUGAAGACUGAGCAGAACCAGGGUACACGCAGAGAGGCCAUCCGUGUGUUAGGGCUUUUAGGGGCUUUGGAUCCCUAUAAGCACAAAGUGAACAUUGGCAUGAUAGACCAGUCCCGGGAUGCCUCUGCUGUCAGCCUGUCAGAAUCCAAGUCAAGUCAGGAUUCCUCUGACUAUAGCACUAGUGAAAUGCUGGUCAACAUGGGAAACCUACCUCUGGAUGAGUUCUACCCAGCCGUGUCCAUGGUGGCCCUGAUGCGGAUCUUCCGAGACCAGUCACUCUCUCACCAUCACACCAUGGUUGUCCAGGCUAUCACCUUCAUCUUCAAGUCCCUGGGACUCAAAUGUGUGCAGUUCCUGCCCCAGGUCAUGCCCACGUUCCUUAAUGUCAUUCGGGUCUGUGAUGGAGCCAUCCGGGAAUUUUUGUUCCAGCAGCUGGGAAUGUUGGUGUCCUUUGUGAAGAGCCACAUCAGACCUUAUAUGGAUGAAAUAGUCACCCUCAUGAGAGAAUUCUGGGUCAUGAACACCUCAAUUCAGAGCACGAUCAUUCUUCUCAUUGAGCAAAUUGUGGUAGCUCUUGGGGGUGAAUUUAAGCUGUACCUGCCCCAGCUGAUCCCGCACAUGCUGCGUGUCUUCAUGCAUGACAACAGCCCAGGCCGCAUCGUCUCGAUCAAGUUAUUGGCUGCAAUCCAGCUGUUUGGUGCCAACCUGGAUGACUACCUGCAUUUGCUGCUGCCUCCUAUUGUGAAGUUGUUUGAUGCCCCUGAAGCUCCCCUGCCAUCUCGAAAGGCAGCGCUGGAGACCGUGGACCGUCUGACGGAGUCCCUGGAUUUCACUGACUAUGCCUCCCGCAUCAUUCACCCUAUUGUUCGAACACUGGACCAGAGCCCAGAACUGCGCUCCACAGCCAUGGACACACUGUCUUCACUUGUUUUUCAACUGGGGAAGAAGUACCAAAUUUUCAUUCCAAUGGUGAAUAAAGUUCUGGUGCGACACCGAAUCAAUCAUCAGCGCUAUGACGUGCUUAUCUGCAGAAUUGUUAAGGGUUACACACUUGCUGAUGAAGAGGAGGAUCCUUUGAUUUACCAGCAUCGAAUGCUUAGGAGUGGCCAGGGGGAUGCAUUGGCUAGUGGACCAGUGGAAACAGGACCCAUGAAGAAACUGCACGUCAGCACCAUCAACCUCCAAAGGGCAUGGGGCGCUGCCAGGAGGGUCUCCAAAGACGACUGGCUGGAAUGGCUGAGGCGGCUGAGCCUGGAGCUGCUGAAGGACUCAUCAUCGCCCUCCCUGCGAUCCUGCUGGGCCCUGGCGCAGGCCUACAACCCGAUGGCCAGGGAUCUCUUCAAUGCUGCAUUUGUGUCCUGCUGGUCUGAGCUGAAUGAAGAUCAACAGGAUGAGCUCAUCAGAAGCAUCGAGUUGGCCCUCACCUCACAAGACAUUGCUGAAGUCACACAAACCCUCUUAAACUUGGCUGAGUUCAUGGAACACAGUGACAAGGGCCCCCUGCCACUGAGAGACGACAAUGGCAUUGUUCUGCUGGGUGAGAGAGCUGCCAAGUGCCGAGCAUAUGCCAAAGCACUACACUACAAAGAACUGGAGUUCCAGAAAGGCCCCACCCCUGCCAUUCUAGAAUCUCUCAUCAGCAUUAAUAAUAAGCUACAGCAGCCAGAGGCAGCAGCCGGAGUGUUGGAAUAUGCCAUGAAACACUUUGGAGAGCUGGAGAUCCAGGCAACCUGGUAUGAGAAACUGCACGAGUGGGAGGAUGCUCUUGUGGCCUAUGAUAAGAAAAUGGACACCAACAAGGAUGACCCAGAGCUGAUGCUGGGCCGUAUGCGCUGCCUUGAGGCCUUGGGGGAAUGGGGUCAACUCCACCAGCAGUGCUGUGAAAAGUGGACCCUGGUUAAUGAUGAGACCCAAGCCAAGAUGGCCCGGAUGGCUGCUGCAGCUGCGUGGGGUUUAGGUCAGUGGGACAGCAUGGAAGAAUACACCUGUAUGAUCCCUCGCGACACCCAUGAUGGGGCAUUCUAUAGAGCUGUGCUGGCACUGCAUCAAGACCUCUUCUCCUUGGCACAACAGUGCAUUGACAAGGCCAGGGACCUGCUGGAUACUGAAUUAACUGCGAUGGCAGGAGAGAGUUACAGUCGGGCAUAUGGGGCCAUGGUUUCUUGCCACAUGCUGUCCGAGCUGGAGGAGGUUAUCCAGUACAAACUUGUCCCCGAGCGACGAGAGAUCAUCCGCCAGAUCUGGUGGGAGAGACUGCAGGGCUGCCAGCGUAUCGUAGAGGACUGGCAGAAAAUCCUUAUGGUGCGGUCCCUUGUGGUCAGCCCUCAUGAGGACAUGAGAACCUGGCUCAAGUAUGCAAGCCUGUGCGGCAAGAGUGGCAGGCUGGCUCUUGCUCAUAAAACCUUAGUGUUGCUCCUGGGAGUUGAUCCAUCUCGGCAACUUGACCAUCCUCUGCCCACAGUUCACCCUCAAGUGACCUAUGCCUACAUGAAAAACAUGUGGAAGAGUGCUCGCAAGAUUGAUGCCUUCCAGCACAUGCAGCAUUUUGUCCAGACCAUGCAGCAACAGGCCCAGCAUGCCAUCGCUACCGAGGACCAGCAGCAUAAGCAGGAACUGCACAAGCUCAUGGCCCGAUGCUUCCUGAAACUUGGAGAGUGGCAGCUGAAUCUACAGGGCAUCAACGAGAGCACAAUCCCCAAAGUGCUGCAGUACUACAGCGCUGCCACAGAACACGACCGCAGCUGGUACAAGGCCUGGCAUGCGUGGGCAGUGAUGAACUUCGAAGCCGUGCUACACUACAAACAUCAGAACCAAGCCCGCGAUGAGAAGAAGAAACUGCGUCAUGCCAGUGGGGCCAACAUCACCAACGCCACCACUGCCACCACCACGGCUGCCACUGCCACCACCACUGCCAGCACUGAGGGCAGCAACAGUGAGAGCGAUGCCGAGAGCACUGAGAACAGCCCCACCCCAUCGCCGCUGCAGAAGAAGGUCACUGAGGAUCUGUCCAAAACCCUCCUGAUGUACACAGUGCCUGCUGUCCAGGGCUUCUUCCGUUCCAUCUCCUUGUCACGAGGCAACAACCUCCAGGAUACACUCAGAGUUCUCACCUUAUGGUUUGAUUAUGGUCACUGGCCAGAUGUCAAUGAAGCCUUAGUGGAGGGGGUGAAAGCCAUCCAGAUUGAUACCUGGCUACAGGUUAUACCUCAGCUCAUUGCAAGAAUUGAUACGCCCAGACCCUUGGUGGGACGUCUCAUUCACCAGCUUCUCACAGACAUUGGUCGAUACCACCCUCAGGCCCUCAUCUACCCUCUGACAGUGGCUUCUAAGUCUACCACGACAGCCCGGCACAACGCAGCCAACAAGAUUCUGAAGAACAUGUGUGAGCACAGCAACACUCUGGUCCAGCAGGCCAUGAUGGUGAGUGAGGAACUGAUCCGAGUGGCCAUCCUCUGGCAUGAGAUGUGGCACGAAGGCCUAGAAGAGGCUUCUCGUUUGUACUUUGGAGAGAGGAAUGUGAAAGGCAUGUUUGAGGUGCUGGAGCCCUUGCAUGCUAUGAUGGAACGGGGCCCCCAGACUCUGAAGGAAACAUCCUUUAAUCAGGCCUAUGGUCGAGAUUUAAUGGAGGCCCAAGAAUGGUGCAGGAAGUACAUGAAAUCAGGGAAUGUCAAGGACCUCACUCAAGCCUGGGACCUCUAUUAUCAUGUGUUCCGACGAAUCUCAAAGCAGCUGCCUCAGCUCACAUCCUUAGAGCUGCAGUAUGUUUCCCCAAAACUUCUGAUGUGCCGGGACCUUGAAUUGGCUGUGCCAGGAACAUAUGACCCCAACCAGCCAAUCAUUCGCAUUCAGUCCAUAGCACCGUCUUUGCAAGUCAUCACAUCCAAGCAGAGGCCCCGGAAAUUGACACUUAUGGGCAGCAACGGGCAUGAGUUUGUUUUCCUUCUAAAAGGCCAUGAAGAUCUGCGGCAGGAUGAGCGUGUGAUGCAGCUCUUCGGCCUGGUUAACACCCUUCUGGCCAAUGACCCAACAUCUCUUCGGAAAAACCUCAGCAUCCAGAGAUAUGCCGUCAUCCCUUUAUCAACCAACUCUGGCCUCAUUGGCUGGGUCCCCCACUGUGACACGCUGCACGCCCUCAUCCGAGACUACAGGGAAAAGAAGAAGAUCCUUCUCAACAUUGAACAUCGCAUCAUGUUGCGGAUGGCUCCCGACUAUGACCACUUGACUCUGAUGCAGAAGGUGGAGGUGUUUGAGCAUGCUGUCAAUAAUACAGCUGGAGACGACCUGGCCAAGCUGCUGUGGCUGAAAAGCCCCAGCUCUGAGACACCCAUCCAACCUGAUGCUGGACCGUCUGAGUGGGAAGAUCCUGCACAUUGACUUUGGGGACUGCUUUGAGGUUGCUAUGACCCGAGAGAAGUUUCCAGAGAAGAUUCCAUUUAGACUAACAAGAAUGUUGACCAAUGCUAUGGAGGUUACAGGCCUGGAUGGCAACUACAGAAUCACAUGCCACACGGUGAUGGAGGUGCUACGGGAGCACAAGGACAGUGUCAUGGCCGUGCUGGAAGCCUUUGUCUAUGACCCCUUGCUGAACUGGAGGCUAAUGGACACAAAUACCAAAGGCAACAAGCGAUCCCGAACGAGGACAGAUUCCUACUCUGCUGGCCAGUCAGUAGAAAUUUUGGACGGUGUGGAACUUGGGGAACCAGCGCAUAAGAAAACGGGGACCACAGUGCCAGAAUCUAUUCAUUCUUUCAUUGGAGACGGUUUGGUGAAACCAGAGGCCCUAAAUAAGAAAGCUAUUCAGAUUAUUAACAGGGUUCGAGAUAAGCUUACUGGUCGGGACUUCUCUCACGAUGACACUUUGGAUGUUCCAACACAAGUUGAGCUGCUCAUCAAACAAGCGACAUCCCAUGAAAACCUCUGCCAGUGCUACAUUGGCUGGUGCCCUUUCUGGUAACUGGAGGCCCAGAUGUGCCCGUCAUGUUUUUUUCUGAGGCUUUUGUACAUUAGUAAAUGCUUCCACUAAACUGAAACCAUGGUGAAAAAGUUUGACUUUGUUAAAUAUUUUGAAAUGUAAAUGAAAAGAACUACUGUAUAUUAAAAGUUGGUUUGAACCAACUUUCUAGCUGCUGUUGAAGAAUAUAUUGUCAGAAACACAAGGCUUGAUUUGGUUCCCGGGACAGUGAAACACAGUACUACCACAUAAAUCAAGCCAUUCAUUUUGGGGAACAGAAGAUCCAUAACUUUAGAAAUACGGGUUUUGACUUAACUCACAAGAGAACUCAUCAUAAGUACUUGCUGAUAGAAGAAUGACCUAGUUGCUCCUCUCAACAUGGGUACAGCAAACUCAGCACAGCCAACCAGCCUCAGGUCAUGGAGGACGUGGAUUAGGAUCCUGGACUGUAAAGAUGCGGGAGAUGCCAACCUCACCCCUGCCACCCAUCCCAAGACCUCACUGGUCUGUGGACGGCAGCAGAAAUGUUUGCAAGAUACGCCAAAAUGAGUGCAAAAGGUCUGUCUUCCAUCAGACCCAGUGACGCCGUGACUCACACGCUUCAAUCCAAGACCCUACCGCUAGUAGGGGAGUUUAUUCAGAUCGCUGGCGGCCUCGGCUGAGCAGAUGCACAGAGGGGAUCACUGCACAGUGGGGCCACCCACACCGGCCUUCCGCAGCAUGGGUCUGGGAUGUUUUCAGUGGUCAGAAUACUCUGUUUAGAGCAAGGGCUCAGAAAACAGAAACACUGUCCUGGAGGUGCUGAACACAGGGAAGGGCUCGACAUAUUGGGAAUUAUGAGCAGAACAAAUACUCAACUAAAUGCACAAAGUAUAAAGUGUAGCCAUGUCUAGACACCAUGUUGUAUCAGAAUAAUUUUUGUGCCAAUAAACAACAUCAGAAUUUUAAACAUACA